GGUCCAAAUUUGAAGUAGAGUAGAUUAGUAUGGUCAGCUGAUCCUACUGAUCUACUCUACUUCGAGUUUGUGCCC
rfam:Haemonchus contortus, ISE/inbred ISE, WGS project CAVP01000000 data, contig: Hcontortus_45014